rnacentral:lncRNA from 1 species
CGUUAUAUGAUACAUUACAACACUUGUAUGAUACAUGAUACAUAACUAUACAAUUAAUGGUACAUUACUAGAUGUUAUGUAAAAUAAUGAUACAUUAUUGCUGUUAUAUUCAUUUACCUGAAGUUGUUAUGUUUUUCAAUCGUAAUUAUAAUAUGUGUAUGCCAACCUAAAUUCUACAAUUGAUGAGAUGAACUGUCUUCAAUUGCACUGCCUAGAAUAACGAGGAAGCCGUCAUCCCUGCCCUCGCUCGGUGCUGAAUCCUACUCCCAACUGAAUAGAUUCUGAACUGAUUCUUAGAUCGUACUAGACUGAGCUGAAUCUGUUACUGAUUAUCUUACUUGACUGAUCUGACUAAGUUUACUUGGUUACGUUGACUGACAGAAUACUACUAAGGUCUGAACAGAAUACUAAACUUGAUUAGACUGAAUACUGAGAUUACUGAGUUUUCUUAAUGUUCUGACAAUGACUGAAUUCUACUGAGCAUAGCAUAAUUGAGAUUAUCUUGAGACUGACUCGGCUCUAGACAAACAGCUAAGUUUUCAGGUAUAAAUCCCCCCAGGACUUGAUAUCAUAAAUAAAUAAGACAGAACCACACUUGAAUAUCAUGACAAUGGACUUUCAUUCACAAUACAAUCAAUACGAUGUUUCAUCAAUCACUUGAAUGUCAUAAACAUGUAAAUGUUUAGGGUAUGCAUCCUAAUAUCUCAUAGUUGUUCAAUAAGGAAUACACAUGGAUAAAAAUGCAUGCAACUUAUCAUAAUACAUUCAUUAAGGCAUUUCAACAAAUGUUUGGCAUGCACUAGUUAUCACAUAAUUGGAGAUUUCAUGAUUAACAUACUAAAAAGGCACUAUUCUCUUUACUUAAGCAUUCUAUCAAACAUAUGGGGAGCAUGCUUUGGUUAUACCAUAGAUUCUAUACUUAAUUAUCAUGAAUACAUCAAUAUCAUGCAACUUGAAGGAAUUUUAUCAUGAACAUCACAUAAUAGGAUCAAAGCUUGGAUCUUUGAAAUCAAAUCAUGAAUUAAAACUCAUCAACAACAUGAACUUCAAUUUCUAUUCACAAAAAUCAUGACAAUCUCAUAAAUAUAUAAUCUUGAAUUUAGAAAAGGAUUCUUGAACUUCUUCGAUGAAAGGAACCCAAGAAUCAACAUCUAACAUACCUCAAAAGCUUGAAUCUUGAAAGAGAAUGACUUUUCUUAAAGGUUCUUAAAUUGGGAAUGAUAAUUUCUUGAUUUUCUUUAAGGACAGCUUGAAUCUUGUUCUUGGGAGAUGAUCUUAAGAGAAAACCCUAAUUUUCUUAUUCUUGAGAGUGAAGAGGAUUAAGGGUUUUUAAAACUGAUUUGUGAUGGUUAUAUACGUGAUUUUGAUGAUUUAAGUCAUGGAAGGUGAAGGAAUAGUCCAAAAUACCCCUACGAAAUCGCUUCCUAGUUGCUGAAAUUCUCGACUGAUGACCAAGGCUGAUAAGCCGACAGAUAUGUGAUGGCCUGUCAGGUCAGGCCAUCACUUGAAAGAUGGAAUGAUGGGUUUCUACCUAAGUCUGAUGGCUUGGGCUGAUAGGUCGUCAAAUAUGUGACGGCCCGUUAGAUAUGUCAUCACUCUGUUGCCAGGCUAACAUGCUAGAGUAAAAUGGGUAUAACAUUUUGCUCUGAUAUCGGAUUUGGGCGAAAUUUGUAUCGUUGGAAAGCUAAUUCAAUUAUCUAUUUAUUGGUGGGUCAUGAUCUCAAAAAUUCAUAGUAUAAUGAGAGAUAUGCUCAUUUGAAGUUGACUAUACCAAUAUCCUUCCCAAGAAUUCAAUCGGUAAGGAAUGUUUUGAGUCGUCUAAUAGCUAGAGUGUAUUUGAGGCCUUAAUAUACAUCAAACAUGAUCAUAAAACUAUCAAAUCACUAGAAUUUAUUUCUCAUGAGCUUGAAGCAUGGUUCUACUAUCGGUUGGGAAUCUAGAGGCAUUACACAUUGGUAGUUUCACGCAAGCCACUUUUGAGGUUCUUAGCAAUCAACCUCCUAAAGGCAAGGAUGCAUAGCCUAUUAGAUAUCUCCCACUUAGCAUAAAUUUUUUUUUCAACGUUGGAGGCUCAUCCUUACGCAAAACUUGAUCUAUGUCAGCUAUGCCCAAAGCAAAUUCAAAAUAUUCUUUCCAUUGCUUAAUGUUAACGCUCGACAGAACCACAACUUCAACAUUGUUAUUGUUCAAAUAAAUGAUAACUUUUCACAACAUAACAUAAAUGAAUUUAUCAAAAUAUCAAGACAUAAGAAUAAUAAUCUUAUCACAACUAUGAGCCCCACAACAUCAAGAAGUAGCCCCCUUUGGACGAAAAUAUUCAAUAUUAGUAACCUAUCUCUUUUGGACGGAUAAAUUUACUAAAAUCAAAAUAUUUUCACCUAAUGGGUCUCAUCACAAUACUAAUUUAAAACACACAAAAAAUCUUGUUUGGGCAGAUCAUUGUAUGCUCUAACUUAGUGAUAUCCCUUGAAAUGGAUUAAACAAGUCUCAUAAAGCAAAACAAAUAGGUCACUUUCUUUUACACUAUUUACCCGAAUUUACAAAACAAAUUCAAUCUCAGGGAUUCAACAUCCCAUUGCUUAAUUUUCUCAUGUGUCGCAGUAAGUAACCACACAAUUAAAAAUAUUAUAAAUCUGAUUUAGUUACAAUUCAAAUGAAACCAAAUUCAAAUACAAUA